AGCAAGCCACCCGCCUUGGCCUCCCAAAGUGCUGGGAUUACAGGCAUGAGCCACGCGCCUGGCUGGUUCUCUACUUUUAAGGACUCGUGUGAUUAGAUUGGACCCACCUGAACAACCCCGAGUAGUCCCCCCAUCUCAAAGUCUUUAACUGAGUCACAUCUGGAAAGGCCCUUUUGUUUGCCAUGUAAGGUCACCUAUUCACUAGUUCUGGGCAUUAGAAAGUGGACAUCUUUAGGAGGCCGCUAGCUUGCCACCCACAGGCAGAUUAGGCCAUGUGAUUUGCUGACCCUCUGCAGAUGUUACACUGAGGCAGUAAACCUUUUCCAGGUGACUCAUACCACCUGUGCACAUCAGGAGACAGUCAUGUGAACUACAGCUGUUGCCAGUGCCAGCUGGGCAUUGUGCAAAGCAGGACUUGAAUGUGUCCAUCACAUGCACUCUGUGGUCGAGCCAUCAGAUGCCCUGAGUAAUUAAUGUUCACAUGGCUUUGUGAAAUACAACUAUGUAGGCUAGCUCGUCAAGUGUUUUUACAAGAGCUGACGCCAGUGGAACCCACUCAGCUUGCUUUUCCUGUUCCAGCUUUUUCACGCACAGUCAGGACCCCCCUGGAACUUCAUCUACUGCCAGCUCCCCCAUUCCCCUCCCACGAGUGUGGGUGGCCCUCUUAGCCUCUGACCGCAUACUGGAACCUGCGGAGGCAGUGUUACCAGACCUGAGGUCUUCCUCUGCAUUUCAUUUGCUGUUCCCUGGCCUGCAAUGCCCCUUCCUUCCCACCUCCCCCGAGGGCCUAGCAGCCCCUCCUACACAGCCCUCUAGCCCCUCUGUGCUCAAAGUGCAUCUGAGGACAUCACCUGAGAGCUGUAGGAGAUGCAGGAUCUCAGGCCCCACCCCAAACCUACUGAAGCCAAAUCUGCUGUUUAACGUGAUCCCUGGAGAUUCAUAAGCAUGUUGUCUGUGCAGCACGGAGUGAGGGGCGGCUCCUCUUCGCUGCACCCCUUCCUGAUUACCCCUAGGCCCAGCCAAAUAAACUCUUCUUCCUGCUCCCUUGUGCCCCAUUUGGACUUCACUCGUAACAAGGGAGUAUAACUGGAUGGUAAAAGGGACUUUUCCUGUUAUCUAGACAUUUCAGCAGAGGCCUCAAAGGCAGAACAAAAUAGUGCAAGGAGCCGCACAUCCGCACAGUGCUGAGACCCUGCCCAGGACAAGCUUGAUCCUGGCACCCAAGUGACAACCUGCAUUGAAAAGGCGGAACUUGGCUCUCCUGCCCUGCCAGCUGUAAGAGCUUGAAAGCAAAGCUAUGGGGGGAAUGUCUUUCAUUUCCCCCUGGAAGCUGGGAGGACGUUCAGCUUAGCAUUGCCAACUGUGUAAUGUGGACUUGCCUCUAAAAGAAGCCUUUUUCCUUGGAUGUCUUUCAGGCCGCAGUAUUCCCUUUGGCACCCCCACCCACCUGGAACAAAGCCUGAUGUAAAGUCUGGGUGCGACUCAGACCGGCCUGGGAAAGAAUUUAUUUAAUAAAUGGUGGAAAGUGGCUUCCUUGACGUGUCUUCGAUGGCUUUUUUAUAAAGCAUUUGGUUUGUCUACUCGUCUGUUUUUGCGCCAUCUCUUUCCACAAAGAUGGCUUAUAGCAGGGAUACUUACAACAAAAUGAUGCUGGGAAAACAAAAACAAAGAAGUAGAGAAUUAGGCCUGAGAAAACUAGGAGUAGAGAGUCACGAUUAGAUACAGAGGAGCAUAGAUGUGUAGUCUAGGAAGGCCAACUAAUUGUUAUAGCUGAAAUUCAAAUUCAGUUAGCUAAAAUGUUCCUAGUGUCAAAGGAAGAAUGGGCCACACAGUUGCAUAAUCCUUAGUAUUAGGGAGAAGGAAAAGGUUCCAGUUAUUCAGAGGGAUGUUCUCUUGCCUUAUUCCUUUAAUAAGUAUCUGUUAAAGGCCCACCAUGUGCCAAGCACCAUGCCCGGCAAGCACUGCACUCACCCCCCAGGAACUCAGUGUCUAAAGGAGACUGGGUGAAAGAACUAUAUUUGUGUGCCUAUGAUGUGUCAAAUACUAUGCAUUUAGUUAUGCAGUUACUGUAUGUUAGACACUAUGCAUUUAAUUAUUUACCUGCUGUAUAUCAGACACCAUGCAUUUUCAUUUAACCCUCAUAAGCACUUACAUCAAGUAGACACUGUUACCUCUUUUUUACAGAUGAGAAAACAGAGUCUCUUCCCGCAGCUGGGGCUCAGGCAGCACCUGGGGGCUCAAAACACACUGGAUGCGGACCUAGUCACGUGGUAAGGACAGCCACAUGAAGUAAGAGUGAGAUGGCGAUUUCCUCUGAAAUAUGAGCCUCAUUCCUUUGAAAGUAGCAAAUAAUUAUCCAGAGGCGUUGGGAAAAUAGUAAGAAAAUCUUACCUCUAUUGAGAAAGAGUGAAUGCCAAAGGCCUCCCUUCACCUGCUCCAUUGCCUGAAACCAAGCACUCGCCCACCUCAGCUGGAGACAUUAGAUUGAAAACAAACCCCCAGUCCCCAUUUAAAGAGGUCAGCCCUGGGCAGUGAGGAUGGGAUGUUCACGGAGGUGGGGUGUGUGGUGCUCCUUAGUGGGGGAAAUGACUUAAAAUAUACAUGAGCGUAAUGGUGAUUUCAGCCUGACACAGCUUGGUAAGGAACAGUGGUUCUGCAAGAAUCCUUUGUAUAUGGUUUGCCAGAAGGAACAUAAACUGAGAUUCUAAACUCUAGAAACACAGGCAUUUUAGGAACUGUCCGCUUUAUUCCUUUUGCUCUGAUUUAAGAUAAAAAUUCUGCUUCUGAUUCCUGCCUGCAAUUUCAGCUUACUCAGACCCCUAUUUGUGCCCCCACUCCCUUGGUGCUGAAGACCCCCUAGGGAGAGCAGAACGAACCAGCUCGGAGAAGGGACCGGGAAGCAGGAGCCGGGAAGAGGUAUCAGCUAAUACGUAUCAGGCACAUCCUCCUUUUAAAGACUCAAGUUGGCCAGGUGCGGUGGCUCAUGCCUAUAAUCCCAGCACUUUGGGAGGCCGAGACAGGUGGAUCACCUU
rnacentral:lncRNA from 1 species